rnacentral:rRNA from 1 species
CAGCCGCCGCGGGAAUACGGAGGGGGCUAGCGUUGUUCGGAAUUACUGGGCGUAAAGCGCACGUAGGCGGCUUUGUAAGUUAGAGGUGAAAGCCCGGAGCUCAACUCCGGAAUUGCCUUUAAGACUGCAGAGCUAGCAGGUGAGAGAGGUGAGUGGAAUUCCGAGUGUAGAGGUGAAAUUCGUAGAUAUUCGGAAGAACACCAGUGGCGAAGGCAGCCCCCUGGGCCAAUACUGACGCUCAUGCACGAAAGCGUGGGGAGCAAACAGGAUUAGAUACCCCUGUAGUCCCUGUCUCUUAUAC